rnacentral:misc_RNA from 1 species
UACGUAGGUGGCAAGCGUUGUCCGGAAUUAUUGGGCGUAAAGCGCGUGCAGGCGGCCUUUUAAGUGUGAUGUGAAAUCCCGGGGCUCAACCCCGAGCGGCCAUUGGAAACUGGGAGACUUGAGUACAGAAGAGGGGAGUGGAAUUCCAGGUGUAGCGGUGAAAUGCGUAGAUAUGUGGAGGAACACCAGUGGCGAAGGCGACUUUCUGGUCUGUAACUGACGCUGAGGCGCGAAAGCGUGGGGAGCAAACAGG